rnacentral:rRNA from 1 species
GACGAACGCUGGCGGCGUGCUUAACACAUGCAAGUCGAACGGAAAGGCCCUGCUUUUGUGGGGUGCUCGAGUGGCGAACGGGUGAGUAACACGUGAGUAACCUGCCCUUGACUUUGGGAUAACUUCAGGAAACUGGGGCUAAUACCGGAUAGGAGCUCCUGCUGCACGGUGGGGGUUGGAAAGUUUCGGCGGUUGGGGCUGGACUCGCGGCUUAUCAGCUUGUUGGUGGGGUAGUGGCUUACCAAGGCUUUGACGGGUAGCCGGCCUGAGAGGGUGACCGGCGACAUCGGGACUGAGAUACGGCCCAGACUCCUACGGGAGGCAGCAGUGGGGAAUAUGGCACAAUGGGCGGAAGCCUGAUGCAGCAACGCCGCGUGCGGGAUGACGGCCUUCGGGUUGUAAACCGCUUUCGCCUGUGACGAAGCGUGAGUGACGGUAAUGGGUAAAGAAGCACCGGCUAACUACGUG